rnacentral:misc_RNA from 1 species
CGACACGCAUACACGCACCGAUACAUCUGUGCGCUCGCCCUGACGCCUACCAGAGGCGUGGAACGGGAGUAUAGUAAUGAAGGUCAUUCCACCCAACUUUAGCUAUGUGGAGGAGGGCAUCUUCCGCUGUGGUGCGCCAGAGCCGCGCCACUACGGCUUUCUCGCAUCUCUGGGGCUGCGCACAUGCAUCCUGCUCACGGACAUCCACGACGACGCCUUUGUGCACUGGCUGCAGGAGUCUGGGGUUACGAUCUUCUGCCCCCUCGUCAGCGAAUCACAGACUUGCGGCACGUUCCGGGGUGCGGCGCAGGCGUACACACUCAUCACUGCAGCCGACGACGUUACGCGUGGGAACACGAUAGGCCCCUCGUCCAGUGGGCCCGCGAAUGUGAAUGGGAGCAAUGUCGGGAAGGCUAAGGAGGAGGGUCGCGAAGGCACCACCGCCAGCUGCAGCGGUGGCGACGGCAACCGCCCGUACAUGGACUCGUUGGGCAAUGGCAACGCCAGUCAAGUCGAAGGCGAUGGCUGGCCGGAUGGCAACGGAGAGGGCAUAGAGGAGGACCGCGGCGCCUCCACUGAGGGCCAGAGCUGGCCUCCCACGUCCACCGGCACCGCCACUGCGGGCACGUCGAAUGCCGUGCGUUUCCUGCAAGAAAACGUCGGCGACCGCCAGAAUAGCUCCAAAUUCUCGCCAGUACACAUCCCAGCGCCGCUCUACUUCCCCGCCAACGGACUGCGCGACAACGGCGGCGGCAGUGGCAGCUUUGAGGCAGCGGCGCCGUCCUACGAGGGCAAACUGCACGGCCUCAUGACCCUCUCCGAGGCGGUGGUCGUCAGCAUCCUGCACAUCCUGCUAGACCCGCAGUACUAUCCGCUGCUCAUCACCUGUUCCAAGGGACGCUACCGCUCCGGCAUUGUGUGUGGGUGUCUACGCAAGCUUCAGGGAUGGAAUCUCGUCUCCAUUCUCGAGGAGUACCGCCGCUUCGCCGGAAACAAGAGCCGCGCCGACAACGAGGAGUUCAUCGAGCUUUUCGACGAGGAGCUGGUGAGUUUGGAGCUCUCCAAUGGCCGUCGGCCCACCAUCCUGUACAACGCGUGAGGGUGCGGAGCGGGGCAAGUGGUGGUGGGCAAAGGGAUGCGUGUACCCAAUCACCUUUUCCUUCACGGGCUGCACGGAUUCGCGCUUUCUCCCGUUCUUCAGUCAUUCAGCGCCCUUAUCUUGGUCUGACCGCUCUCGACGACGUCAAGGAUAGCAACGAUGGUGGUGCCGAUGUGGGUUCGCCUUUGUUUCUCUUACAGGUUGCAUUUUUUUUCCAGGUUGCUCGCUGUUCGGUGUUGCCGCUGCCGGUCCUCUUAUCCUUUUUCUUUCUUUUCGCGUGCCCAUGGCUUCUACUGCAUGUGGGCUUGACGGCUGCACGCAUUGCUGCCUGCUGCUGAAGGCCUUUGCGAGUGCACGGGCACGCUGAUGAGCGUAUCUUUGCCCUCCUUUGCUAGUGUGCUUGUGUGUGUCUCUCUAUGUAUG